UUAAGUUCAGCGGGUAGUCCUACCUGAUUUGAGGUCAGAUGUUAAAAGUUGUCCUCGCGGACGGUUAGAAGCGCGAACACAGAGAUACUUCACACCACGGCGUAGACAAUUAUCACACCGAAGCGAUCCGUAAGGCUCGCACUAAUGCAUUUCAGAGGAGUCGACUUUCGCAAGCCGACACGACCCCCAAGUCCAAGCCU
rnacentral:misc_RNA from 1 species